rnacentral:rRNA from 1 species
UUACCUACGGGACGCAGCAGUGGGGGAUAUUGCACAAUGGGGGGAACCCUGAUGCAGCGACGCCGCGUGGGUGAAGAAGCGCCUCGGCGCGUAAAGCCCUGUCAGCAGGGAAGAAAAUGACGGUACCUGAAGAAGAAGCCCCGGCUAACUACGUGCCAGCAGCCGCGGUAAUACGUAGGGGGCAAGCGUUAUCCGGAUUUACUGGGUGUAAAGGGAGCGUAGACGGCAUAGCAAGUCUGAAGUGAAAGCCCGUGGCUCAACCGCGGAACUGCUUUGGAAACUGUUAAGCUGGAGUACUGGAGAGG